ensembl:lncRNA
CAGUGUUAAAAGUUAUUAAUUCCCAAAGAUUUGAAUUAACAAUCCACAGUGUUAAACAGUACUCGUGUUCAGUGUUGUUAUAUGUGCGAAAUAAAAGACCCGCCGAAUUGUCUGGACUCCGCCCUUCAGUGACUGCUGCCUCGCGAAGCGACAACGCCAUCUUUUCUUCGAGCGACCGAGACGUUGGUCGUCCUCUCGCCUCUGUUCCCUCCUCGGCCUGGGGUUACUGCGAAUCUGGCGCUGAAGACUGAAGCUGCUAACGUUAUAUUCGGUAGGUUUUCUACUAAAAUGAGAGAAUUCAUCAAAUGGUAAAUGCAUUUGUUUUUG